rnacentral:lncRNA from 1 species
AUGCAUGAGUGUUUUUCUCUCACUGGACUCAGACAAGUUGGUGAUCAGUGCACAGUGAACCUGCUUCACAACAGUGGAGAAGGAAUUCCAGAUUGUGACCGAAUUGCAGAUGAUGGGCUCGGGUUGCUCCCAGAUAAGAUGUGUUCUUCCAGGCCCUUGGUCCCUCACUCACCCAAGAAUAGGGGAGAGGACCCAGCCGAGCAUGGUAAGUUCGUGCAAGUAAAAGAAAGUGAUUUAUUUAGGAAGAGAGAGAGAGAGAGAGAGAGAGAGAGAGAGAGAGAGAGAGAGAGAGAGAGAGAGAGUUAGCUCUCAUGCUGUCAUGAGAGGGGAUCCAGAUAUGGAGUCUGCACAGAUGAGAGAGAAGAGGACUUUCAACCUGGGAGUUAUUCCCACCCUAUAUAAGUUUUUUGUCCUAUGAACGGAGUUCCUUUAAACUUCUGCUGGAGUGAUUGACCUUUGAUUUCUGUGCCGUCCAUCUUCCCAUGCAUGGGAAAGUUAACCAAAGACCUCUAAGCUCCCAGAUGGAGAUGUGAAAGAAGACAGGUUGGGCAUGUCACCAGGAAGUUCUUGCCUUUGAAACCACUCCCCUUGUGGACCCAGGAAGAGAAGUUAAUUACAUUCCCUCAAGAAGACAUUUUUUGGUGAUCAGAUAGAUCUAAUUUACAGAAUUUUAUUUAAAAACAUACAAUAUUUAAAUUUUGAACUUUCUUUUCUAGAUCAAGUAUUGCCAAACUUUUUCUGUAGGGAGUCAGAUAGUACAUAUCACAGCCUUCGUGGGUCAUUCUCUGUCCCAACUGCUCAGUAUACAAAUUUGUGGAUAUUGUUGUGUUCCAAAAAGCUUUAUUCACAAAAAUAGUCAAUGGGAUAAAUUAGCUCCAUUGGCCAAAGUUUGACAACCUCUAGACCUCUUAAUGUGAUUUAAUCUCUUGACAAAUCAUGGGGGCUUUUGCUUUGAACUUUGUCUUUCUCCAUGAACUAGUUCUUUCUGUUCUUUUCUGUACUUACAUAUGGUCUUUCAAUUUUAAAAAUAGUUUGUGGUUAAGGAAAUGCUAUUCUAAUGUAAGUAUCAUCUUGCAUACCUUCUUUCCUCUGGGCUCUUUCUCUUCUUCCACCACCUAUUACUCCCUAAUUGUUUCAGGUGUCAUUCUCCCAGAAUCCUCUCAAAUCAGCAACCCUGGUUUUAUAUGUGUCUAAUACCUAGCACAACGAAAGUUCUUUUUAAUGCUUAUUUAAGUAGAUCAUGUCAGAACAAAUCUGGGAAAUGUAGAAAAGUAUCAGAAAAUAUUCAAGAUUGAUAAAUAUUUUUCAAAUAUUUCCUAGGUGCUGGGCUAUGAAGGAGCAAAAACAUUGCACCCAAUCCCAUUAGAAAUA